rnacentral:rRNA from 1 species
UACGUAGGGGGCAAGCGUUGUCCGGAUUUAUUGGGCGUAAAGAGCGUGUAGGCGGCCUGAAAGGUCAGCUGUGAAAACUCGAGGCUCAACCUCGAGACGUCGGUUGAAACCAUCUGGCUAGAGUCCGGAAGAGGAGUGUGGAAUUCCCGGUGUGGCGGUGAAAUGCGCAGAUAUCGGGAAGAACACCCGUGGCGAAGGCGGCACUCUGGGACGGUACUGACGCUGAGACGCGAAAGCGUGGGGAGCGAACAGG